GUACAUUAAUAUGAACAAACCAAACAUACAUCAUGCUAGAUAAUAGAGAAAAUCAAAUAAAUCAUGGAAUGCUCAUAUUUUUGUGUCAUGCUUCGUGAAGUCGUUUCAACUUCCAUCUUUAAAGGCAGAUACAGAUUUCUAAUUACCCAAGUAGAAUGACUAGAUCACAUACAGAUACGACAAUUUGCUCAAAUCUAUUUUCCACUAGCUAAACCAUGGUACGAUCUACAAGUAAGACUAACAAUAGUGACCCUAUCAGAUAUCUACAGUCACAACAGUACUUAGCUAAGGGUGACCCCUAAUAGAUAUUCGUGUUACCACUCUCAUUAGAGGGUAAGUCGUUAUCCAAUGGGAGCGAUCCCCUUAUGUCUUUCCAGACUAGAUGGGUGAGGGGGAAACAAAUACACCAAAGGGCUAGGGGAAUAAAUACCUCUCUAAGAUAAAAAGCCUAAUGAGACACUUGAU
rnacentral:lncRNA from 1 species